AGUGAGAGAGAUCAUCUCUGCUCAUGCAAGCAUUAAAAUAGUUAUGUGGGAUGGAUAUUGAAGUACCGUCGCUAGGAGCGCAAGUAUGUUUAACGAUGUGGGAUUUAGUGGUUUACAGCUCAGAAAAUUGAACUGCAAGCAGUUGUUGGAUUAGAAUUCCGGUUUUAUCGAGUCAUCAAACUCUGCAAACUGUUUUGGAUUAUGGAUGAGUAUGAUGACGUCGUGGAAAAAGAAGGAAGUGGUUUACGCUAUUUUUUUAAUAACGGUGUGGAGAUUUUGGAUUUGCAUGAAUGACAAUAUUUUAAGGGCACAAACACUUCAGCGUUUAAGGAGGUACAAGAUGUUAAGGAAACGGCUUACUGGUGGGUUACCAAGAGUUUCAAGAUGCAGAGUGAAUGUAAUGUGUUGGUGUACAGUGGGGUUCCUUAGCUUUCAAAAUCAAUAAACAACUGAUCUUCUUAAAGCUCAACGCCCAGGAGGUUGAAGCGUCAGAGAGAUGGAGGAAGCAAUGUUGGUAGGUGAAGAAUAAGAAACGGCGUUUUCGUUUCACGACUUUCCUCUCCAAGCGUUCGAAGCAUGUGCUAAUCUAUGAUCUAACAUGGGUUUCUGGCUUUCAUGGUACGCCUCUCUUCUGCAUCCCUAAAUUGCAUGCGGAAAGAUCUUCAACGUCAAGGUUUGAUCCUCUUCUUUUCUAUUAAUCAUCUUGAUAUUUUGAUUCUUUAUUGUUGAUUAUAUAUAUAUAUAGAGAGAGAGAGUAAGGUUAACAUACAAAAAGCCUUAUCAUACACCACGUAGGAGACAAUGGUAACCGUUGGAUCAGGAGUAUAAUCACGCAUGGGACCAC